AUUUUUGAAAAAAAUGCUUAGACUAGUCCCCCACAUCAAGGGAGUUGGGUCAUGAUGAGACAGACCAAGUGAAAAUGAAAACUAAGAAAACACACAUGUCGCAGGUGAAGUUACACAAGUCUGUGCAACAACCAGCCCCAAGCCCCACAGGAGGUGAAGAGGAAGAAUGAGGCAGAGCCCAAAGAACCAGCCAGAUAAAUAGGAACUGGAGUCAGUAGCAGCCAGAAGGGAGAAGCCAGGAAGCUGGUUAACAUGAUACUAGCACCAAACUAAGCACCUGAAUCUCAGGGGACUAUCCCUCCUCACCCACUGCUGAGAACAAAGGAAUAUUAUUUUUAUUUUCUUCUUCACCAGCAUCCAUUGAUACUAUUUACCAAGUGCUCACUCAGUGCCAAGUGCUACAUAAGCCCUCGGCGGGUAGUAUGACAUAUCUAACGACACCGAAAGGUUGUUAUUAUAUUACAAGUCCUGUUGGCAGAUGCGGAGACUGACACAUUAAGCAACUUGCCCAGUGCUGAACCUCUAAGGCAGAGCCUGCAUUCCUGCCAGGUUGUUCUGAUGCUAAACUCCAUCUUUUUGGCUAAAACAAAGAAGCAAACAAAUGCAUGACAAGGACAGCCCCAUACAGAGAAGCAGGAGCACUAGGUUUUUUUUGCCGCCUCAUCUGGGCAUCCCAGUCCAUACACACUGGUCUGAUGCUGGACCUGACUUGCACCAGGUCCCAACUCUAUACGCAGUGACUUUACCUUGGUGGCUUGAAAUCCACCAAGGUGGGAGAAUUCGCACUAUGGAAAUUGGCAAAUACUACAAAAUUGUGGCUUUCUCUCCCCCUACCCGCCCCCCUACCAGCCCAGAGAGCUGGUUAUCACCAUCGCCUGGAGCCUUAGGGUAUAUCCACAAAUAGCCCAAGUGUCUGGCCGAUGAAUUUAAUUCCGUUCUCUUUAUUGUUUCUAUUCUGGAAAAGUAAACAUCUCAAGCAAUUAAAUUCCCACCCUGUCAUUUAUUUUUUUUUAAGAUUGUUAUUAAAGAUAAACGUAUAUAUGAACCAAAACCCAAAUAAUAUUUAUAGUCCAGGGGCCAGGAUGGAUCUCUCUACCUUUUCAGGAGACAUGGCAUUGAUUUUCAAUACUUUCUACCACACUCUUCUCAGGUAUUAUGAAAGGGUAGGUGUAUUAAAAGAAAUCAUCUCUUUUAAAGCUUUUGUUGUUACACAGACAGCAAACUGCUUUGACGGAGUUGUGACUGCUCGGUUAGCAUAUUGGGUGAUUGCUUCACUAAGCCAACAUACAUGCACUGAAUACCACUCUGUACCAGGGUGCUCAUCGAACAUUCUUCACCUGAAGGAUCUCAGUGUAAUAGUUGGGAGAUUUACAAUGUCAUGUGCUAAGUGCCAUACUUGAGGUCCACGCAAGGGCCUCUGGGAGAUCAGAGGCUACCCACUAACUCAGGGUGGGCAAGUCACAGAGGGAUUUUCAGACGAGGUGAUGUUGAAAUGCCCAGAAUAGAGAACAGAGUAAAGAAAGGCAUGAAAAGGGGAAAAAAAUAGAAUGUGAUUAAAGAUUGACUUGGCAGCGUGGUGUGGUGAACCUCAGAUGGUCACAGCUGCUUGUGGAAUGAUGAAUUAGGUCGUAGUGAGCAGAAACCAGGGAACCAGGAGCAAUGCCUCCUCAAUCUGUGCUGAUGAGAGAUGCUUUCAUAGCAACAUGCAGGGCAGAUGGACAGAAGGAGAGGGAGGAACCAGAUUGCAGACAGUGAAAUAUUCCAGGGAAACAAACUAAGAGUCCAGACUACAAAGUUCCCUGGUGGCUGGCUCAGUGGGUUAAGGAUCUGGCGUUGUCACUGCUGUGACUUGGAUCAUUGCUGUAGCACUGGUUAGAUCUCUGGUCUGGGGAACUUCCACAUACCAUGGGCUCGGCCAAAACCAAAAAAAAAAAAAAAAAAAAAAAAAAA
rnacentral:lncRNA from 1 species